AAUUCGUUUAAUUAUGGCGAUAGGAAGUGGUUUUACCUUAGCUGCAUAAAAGUAUUUUUUGUUAUUGUAGUUUAUACUUUAUUAUAUGUUAUUAGCAGUUAAUUUUUUAUUGGAAUAGGUGUUUUUUAAGAAGUUAAAAUUUAAAGGGGAUAGGACACAGUGCCAGCAUCCGCGGUUAAUCUGUUUUCUUUGCUUCUUCAUAGACUAAUAUUAUGUAUUUAUAUUGAAGCUAGGUGAAAUUUUUUUGAUUUUAUAUUUUAUUCUUAUAUAGUAAACAAUAUUAUUUAUGACAGGGAUUAGAUACCCCAUUAAUAUAAUAUUAUAGUUUGUUUUAGUUUUAUAACUAAAAUAGUUUGGCAGCAAGCGAAUCCUUUUAGGGGAAUGUGUAUAGUAAAGGAUGAUCCGCCUACUAAUUUACUUAUAUUAUGUUGGUGUAUAUCUGGUUUAAUAUUAUUGCUUUAGUGGCUGAAUUUGUGUAUAAUAAAUAUUUAAGCCAAGUCUAUGUGCUGCUUGUAUAAGUUUUUAUGCGUUACAGUGAUAAUGUUAGAUUUGUAAAAGUUUAUUAUUUAGGACUUAAGAGUAAUGCAAAUUUAUUUUGUUUGUGUGAAAUAGGUUUAGCUUGGGUACACACCGCCCGUCACCCUCGAUAGUUGUUGAGGUAAGUCGUAACAAGGUAACUUUAAAUGAAUUUGAAGUUAAUUACCAUAAAUAAUUUGUUGUGUGGUUGAA
rnacentral:ncRNA from 1 species